rnacentral:lncRNA from 1 species
GAAAAGCACUUAAAAGUUCUACACAAGCAUGAAGGUUAAAGAAAGCUUUAUUUUUUUAUUUUUAUUUUUUUUUUAAUGAAGGACUGAAAAAAAAAAAAAAAAGGAAUACUUUGGGAAAAGUAUAAAGAACGAGAAGUGAGUAGACUUAUGAAAAAGUUUAUAUCAUAAAGAAAGAAACAAUCUUCCAAGUGGGAACUAUGAACCUGUAAGAGUACUGAGAUCAAACACACUGGGACAAUUUUUCAUCAUAAAACUAAUGGAUGCAGUUUCCUUUCAAAUCAACUGUUGAAUUUAUUUCUGGCUGUGCUUAAGGAACUCAUGCUAACAGUCCAUUCAGAGGCUGAGAAACAAGGAAAGAGCAGCACACCAUAAACAAAGGUCAGGGGCAGACUGGUGCACUGUGCCCACAACCAGAGUUGCUGCUUGACACAAAUCCCACAAC